rnacentral:rRNA from 1 species
AUGCAAGUCGACGAGAAAGUUCCCUUCGGGGGGCGAGUACAGUGGCGAACGGGUGAGUAACGCGUGGGAAACCUGCCUUUGAGCGGGGGAUAACACUUCUAACGGGGUGCUAAUACCGCAUAACACCGCUUAAUCGCAUGAUUAAGUGGUCAAAGAUAGCCUCUGAUUUAAGCUAUCACUUGGAGAUGGUCCCGCGUCUGAUUAGCUUGUUGGUGGGGUAAUGGCCUACCAAGGCGACUAUCAGUAGCUGGUCUGAGAGGAUGGUCAGCCACACUGGGACUGAGAUACGGCCCAGACUCCUACGGGAGGCAGCAGUCGAGAAGCUUCGGCAAUGGGGGAAACCCUGACCGAGCGACGCCGCGUGAAGGAUGAAGCCUUUAGGGGUGUAAACUUCUUUUCUAAGGGAAGAAACCUAUGUGGUCCAAUAGGCCACGUAAUUGACGGUACCUUAGGAAUAAGCUCCGGCUAACUCCGUGCCAGCAGCCGCGGUAAUACGGGGGGAGCGAACGUUGUUCGGAUUUAUUGGGCGUAAAGGGCGUGUAGGCGGCUCGGCAAGUGGUGUGUGAAAUCCUCUGGCUCAACCAGAGAACUGCGCCCCAAACUGCCGAGCUUGAGAGUAGUAGAGGUAACUGGAAUUCCUGGUGUAGCGGUGAAAUGCGUAGAUAUCAGGAGGAACACCAUUGGCGAAGGCGAGUUACUGGGCUAUUUCUGACGCUGAGGCGCGAAAGCUAGGGGAGCGAACGGGAUUAGAUACCCCGGUAGUCCUAGCUGUAA